GCUUACGGCCACACCGCGUGGUUCACGCCUUGAUCUCGGAAGCUAAGAUAGGUUGGGCCUGGUUAGUACUUGGAUGGGAGACCGCCUGGGAAUACCAGGUGCUGUAAGCU
ensembl:rRNA 5S_rRNA 5S ribosomal RNA